rnacentral:rRNA from 1 species
CCCUUAGAUGUCCUGGGCUGCACGCGCGCUACACUGAUGUGUCCAGUAAGCACCUAACCUCUUCCGAAAGGAACGGGUAACCUUUGCAAAGCACAUCGUGAUGGGGAUAGAUUAUUGCAAUUAUUAGUCUUGAACGAGGAAUUCCUAGUAAGCGCCAGUCAGCAGCUUGCGCUGAUUACGUCCCUGCCCUUUGUACACACCGCCCGUCGCUCCUACCGAUGGGUGAUCCGGUGAAUGAUUCGGACUUCAGCGGCUCCCCUGGGGUGCGCCGGAGAAAGUUUUGUGAACCUUAUCACUUGGAGGAAGGAGAAGUCGUAACA